GGGUUGUGAGGUUAAGCGACUAAGCGUACACGGUGGAUGCCCUGGCAGUCAGAGGCGAUGAAGGACGUGCUAAUCUGCGAUAAGCGUCGGUAAGGUGAUAUGAACCGUUAUAACCGGCGAUUUCCGAAUGGGGAAACCCAGUGUGUUUCGACACACUAUCAUUAACUGAAUCCAUAGGUUAAUGAGGCGAACCGGGGGAACUGAAACAUCUAAGUACCCCGAGGAAAAGAAAUCAACCGAGAUUCCCCCAGUAGCGGCGAGCGAACGGGGAGCAGCCCAGAGCCUGAAUCAGUGUGUGUGUUAGUGGAAGCGUCUGGAAAGGCGCGCGAUACAGGGUGACAGCCCCGUACACAAAAAUGCACAUGCUGUGAGCUCGAUGAGUAGGGCGGGACACGUGGUAUCCUGUCUGAAUAUGGGGGGACCAUCCUCCAAGGCUAAAUACUCCUGACUGACCGAUAGUGAACCAGUACCGUGAGGGAAAGGCGAAAAGAACCCCGGCGAGGGGAGUGAAAAAGAACCUGAAACCGUGUACGUACAAGCAGUGGGAGCACGCUUCGGCGUGUGACUGCGUACCUUUUGUAUAAUGGGUCAGCGACUUAUAUUCUGUAGCAAGGUUAACCGAAUAGGGGAGCCGAAGGGAAACCGAGUCUUAACUGGGCGUUAAGUUGCAGGGUAUAGACCCGAAACCCGGUGAUCUAGCCAUGGGCAGGUUGAAGGUUGGGUAACACUAACUGGAGGACCGAACCGACUAAUGUUGAAAAAUUAGCGGAUGACUUGUGGCUGGGGGUGAAAGGCCAAUCAAACCGGGAGAUAGCUGGUUCUCCCCGAAAGCUAUUUAGGUAGCGCCUCGUGAAUUCAUCUCCGGGGGUAGAGCACUGUUUCGGCAAGGGGGUCAUCCCGACUUACCAACCCGAUGCAAACUGCGAAUACCGGAGAAUGUUAUCACGGGAGACACACGGCGGGUGCUAACGUCCGUCGUGAAGAGGGAAACAACCCAGACCGCCAGCUAAGGUCCCAAAGUCAUGGUUAAGUGGGAAACGAUGUGGGAAGGCCCAGACAGCCAGGAUGUUGGCUUAGAAGCAGCCAUCAUUUAAAGAAAGCGUAAUAGCUCACUGGUCGAGUCGGCCUGCGCGGAAGAUGUAACGGGGCUAAACCAUGCACCGAAGCUGCGGCAGCGACACUGUGUGUUGUUGGGUAGGGGAGCGUUCUGUAAGCCUGUGAAGGUGUACUGUGAGGUAUGCUGGAGGUAUCAGAAGUGCGAAUGCUGACAUAAGUAACGAUAAAGCGGGUGAAAAGCCCGCUCGCCGGAAGACCAAGGGUUCCUGUCCAACGUUAAUCGGGGCAGGGUGAGUCGACCCCUAAGGCGAGGCCGAAAGGCGUAGUCGAUGGGAAACAGGUUAAUAUUCCUGUACUUGGUGUUACUGCGAAGGGGGGACGGAGAAGGCUAUGUUGGCCGGGCGACGGUUGUCCCGGUUUAAGCGUGUAGGCUGGUUUUCCAGGCAAAUCCGGAAAAUCAAGGCUGAGGCGUGAUGACGAGGUACUACGGUGCUGAAGCAACAAAUGCCCUGCUUCCAGGAAAAGCCUCUAAGCAUCAGGUAACAUCAAAUCGUACCCCAAACCGACACAGGUGGUCAGGUAGAGAAUACCAAGGCGCUUGAGAGAACUCGGGUGAAGGAACUAGGCAAAAUGGUGCCGUAACUUCGGGAGAAGGCACGCUGAUACGUAGGUGAAGUCCCUCGCGGAUGGAGCUGAAAUCAGUCGAAGAUACCAGCUGGCUGCAACUGUUUAUUAAAAACACAGCACUGUGCAAACACGAAAGUGGACGUAUACGGUGUGACGCCUGCCCGGUGCCGGAAGGUUAAUUGAUGGGGUUAGCGCAAGCGAAGCUCUUGAUCGAAGCCCCGGUAAACGGCGGCCGUAACUAUAACGGUCCUAAGGUAGCGAAAUUCCUUGUCGGGUAAGUUCCGACCUGCACGAAUGGCGUAAUGAUGGCCAGGCUGUCUCCACCCGAGACUCAGUGAAAUUGAACUCGCUGUGAAGAUGCAGUGUACCCGCGGCAAGACGGAAAGACCCCGUGAACCUUUACUAUAGCUUGACACUGAACAUUGAGCCUUGAUGUGUAGGAUAGGUGGGAGGCUUUGAAGUGUGGACGCCAGUCUGCAUGGAGCCGACCUUGAAAUACCACCCUUUAAUGUUUGAUGUUCUAACGUUGACCCGUAAUCCGGGUUGCGGACAGUGUCUGGUGGGUAGUUUGACUGGGGCGGUCUCCUCCUAAAGAGUAACGGAGGAGCACGAAGGUUGGCUAAUCCUGGUCGGACAUCAGGAGGUUAGUGCAAUGGCAUAAGCCAGCUUGACUGCGAGCGUGACGGCGCGAGCAGGUGCGAAAGCAGGUCAUAGUGAUCCGGUGGUUCUGAAUGGAAGGGCCAUCGCUCAACGGAUAAAAGGUACUCCGGGGAUAACAGGCUGAUACCGCCCAAGAGUUCAUAUCGACGGCGGUGUUUGGCACCUCGAUGUCGGCUCAUCACAUCCUGGGGCUGAAGUAGGUCCCAAGGGUAUGGCUGUUCGCCAUUUAAAGUGGUACGCGAGCUGGGUUUAGAACGUCGUGAGACAGUUCGGUCCCUAUCUGCCGUGGGCGCUGGAGAACUGAGGGGGGCUGCUCCUAGUACGAGAGGACCGGAGUGGACGCAUCACUGGUGUUCGGGUUGUCAUGCCAAUGGCACUGCCCGGUAGCUAAAUGCGGAAGAGAUAAGUGCUGAAAGCAUCUAAGCACGAAACUUGCCCCGAGAUGAGUUCUCCCUGACCGUUUAAGGGUCCUGAAGGAACGUUGAAGACGACGACGUUGAUAGGCCGGGUGUGUAAGCGCAGCGAUGCGUUGAGCUAACCGGUACUAAUGAACCGUGAGGCUUAACCUUACAACGCCGAAGCUGUU
rnacentral:rRNA from 1 species